rnacentral:rRNA from 1 species
UACGAAGGGGGCUAGCGUUGUUCGGAAUCACUGGGCGUAAAGGGUGCGUAGGCGGGUCUUUAAGUCAGGGGUGAAAUCCUGGAGCUCAACUCCAGAACUGCCUUUGAUACUGAGGAUCUUGAGUUCGGGGAGAGGUGAGUGGAACUGCGAGUGUAGAGGUGAAAUUCGUAGAUAUUCGCAAGAACACCAGUGGCGAAGGCGGCUCACUGGCCCGAUACUGACGCUGAGGCACGAAAGCGUGGG